rnacentral:misc_RNA from 1 species
GAUGAAAGAACGCAGCGAAAUGCGAUAAGUAAUGUGAAUUGCAGAAUUCAGUGAAUCAUCGAAUCUUUGAACGCACAUUGCGCCCGCCAGUAUUCUGGCGGGCAUGCCUGUUCGAGCGUCAUUUCAACCAUCAAGCCCCGGGCUUGUGUUGGGGACCUGCGGCUGCCGCAGGCCCUGAAAACCAGUGGCGGGCUCGCUGUCACACCGGGCGUAGUAGAUUUUAUCUCGCUCAGGGCGUGCUGCGGGUUCCGGCCGUUAAAAAGCCUUUUUUACCCAAGGUUGACCUCGGAUCAGGUAGGAAGACCCGCUGAACUUAAGCAUAUCAAUAAGCGGAGGA